ACGUUUUAAACAUGCAAGUCGAGCGGUAACAGACAUAAAGAUUCAGCUUGCUGAAUCCGGUGCUGACGAGCGGCGAACGGGUGAGUAACGCGUAGGAAUCUACCCAGUANCCGGGGGAUAGCCCGGGGAAACUCCGGAUUAAUACCGCAUACGCCCUAUGGGGGAAAGAUGGCCUCUUCUUGAAAGCUAUCGCUAUUGGAGGAGCCUGCGUUGGAUUAGCUAGUUGGUGGGGUAAAGGCUCACCAAGGCGACGAUCCGUAGCUGGUCUGAGAGGAUGAUCAGCCACAUCGGGACUGAGACACGGCCCGAACUCCUACGGGAGGCAGCAGUGGGGAAUAUUGGACAAUGGGCGCAAGCCUGAUCCAGCCAUGCCGCGUGUGUGAAGAAGGCUCUAGGGUUGUAAAGCACUUUCAGUGGGGAGGAUAAGUUAUCGGUUAAUACCUGGUAAUGCAGACGUUACCCACAGAAGAAGCACCGGCAAACUCCGUG
rnacentral:rRNA from 1 species